CACUGCAAUCAAUAAAUAAAUCACAAUAAAUGACAAAUAAACUAAUUUAAGUAAGGGGAAAAUACAGGUGAUCAGUAGCAGUAAUUCUCUUUAUGUGUCUAAAAUAAUAAUCUCCACGUUGAUCUCCUGUAAGGUUAUUUGAACUUGCUUUACAGGAGUCUCUGCAUUUUAAGUUUCGGCAUGUUAUUAAAGGUAAUCUACUAAAUUUGCUGUUCUAAAACAUUAUUGAAACCGAAUCUUAUAAAACCUAAUAGAGCUGUAAAUGUUAGAUAUUAUUUAUUUACAUCAUUUACUGUUAUCGUUUUAUUUGAAAACUCCAACUAAACAUUAAAAUGAAUGUAAAUUCCUCGUUGCCAGAUAAAAUGAAGGCAUCGAAUAAACCAAAUGAAAAUGGAGGCAAAAAAAAUUUAAAUAAAUAAACAAUUCAAGCAAAAAUCAAUAAACAAUAUACUAGUGAUGUUGCAGCAGAUGGACAUUGUAUUAAUACUGCAAAGUUUUUUUGUUUUUUUUGCACAAACUGACAAAUUGCAGGGUUGGGAUGUGUAAAUAUCCUGUUGAUAUUUAGAAAUCUUCGGUAUUUAUCUUCUAAACGCACAAUUGUUCCCGCCUGGUAAAUCGUUAUGGUGUGUAGGCUAUAUUUUGGGUUCUGUUGAUGGCUAAUUAAAAAUAAAAAACCUUUCCUAAAAUGUACGUGUUGUUUAUAUGUUCAUAUUUUACAAGUGUUAUUUCUACCCCUAUGAAGAUAACAAAUACCAACAACCCUGUUAUAAGAGAAUAUAUUAUUUGUGCUCAUGUUCUAUGGAAUGUAAAUCCUGCCAAUUUUAAAUAAAUCAAAUAAACAUUUGAAAUGAAAAUGAAAAUCAGAUCAACACUUUCAUUUUAAAACAUUGUUCGCAAAAUAUCUGCCAAA
rnacentral:lncRNA from 1 species